AUGUCGCCGAGGGAGGAUAAGUGGGACAGGAGGGAAUUAGUGAGGGGUUUAGGUGGGAAGGAACGGUGGGUUGUGAGGGUUUUGAAGGAUUUCCAAGCUUCAUCGGUUUGGGAAGUGAUGAUGGAUUUGUGGAGAGUUGUUUGGAGAGAUGAAAGUUGGUGGGGUGUGAGGGAGAGUGAGGGUGGUGGAGGAGUUGGGAGGUUUUGGGGUUCGUCGAAAAAGGGUUUUUUGAGGGAGAAUAAACAGGGUUGA